UUAAGACCCGUGCAGUGGAAGAGAAACAACAACACACACAUACACACAACAUAUAUAUAUACAAAUAUGCAUCAAACAUUUAGAGCACAGAGAAGUUUACAUUUUCACACAGAGAAAUAUCAGUUCAGGUGAACAAAGGUCAUCUUGAGCAGUGAAACAGACACAGG